rnacentral:rRNA from 1 species
GCGGCACGCUUAAACAUGCAAGUCGAACGCAGUAGCAAUACUGAGUGGCAGACGGGUGAGUAUAAUGUGGGAAUCUGCCUUUUGGUUCGGAAUAACUCGGGGAAACUUGAGCUAAUACCGGAUAAGCCCUUACGGGGAAAGAUUUAUCGCCAAAAGAUGAGCCCGCACUUGAUUAGCUUGUUGGUGAGGUAAAAGCUCACCAAGGCAACAAUCAAUAGCUGUUCUUAGAGGAAGACCAGCCACAUUGGGACUGAGACACGGCCCAGACUCCUACGGGAGGCAGCAGUGGGGAAUCUUGCACAAUGGGGGAAACCCUGAUGCAGCGAUGCCGCGUGAGUGAAGAAGGCCUUUGGGUUGUAAAACUCUUUCGUCGGGGAAGAAAAUGACUGUACCCGAAUAAGAAGGUCCGGC